AGUAGUUUCGAUCCUGGCUCAGGACGAACGCUGGCGGCGUGCUUAACACAUGCAAGUCGAACGGUGACCCUGGUGCUUGCACCAGGUGAUCAGUGGCGAACGGGUGAGUAACACGUGAGUAACCUGCCCCUGACUCUGGGAUAACCCCGGGAAAUCGGAGCUAAUACCGGAUACGAGACGCACAGGCAUCUGCCGCGUCUGGAAAGAAUUUCGGUCAGGGAUGGACUCGCGGCCUAUCAGCUAGUUGGUGAGGUAACGGCCCACCAAGGCGACGACGGGUAGCCGGCCUGAGAGGGCGACCGGCCACACUGGGACUGAGACACGGCCCAGACUCCUACGGGAGGCAGCAGUGGGGAAUAUUGCACAAUGGGCGAAAGCCUGAUGCAGCGACGCCGCGUGGGGGAUGAAGGCCUUCGGGUUGUAAACCCCUUUCAGCAGGGAAGAAGCGAAAGUGACGGUACCUGCAGAAGAAGCGCCGGCUAACUACGUG
rnacentral:rRNA from 1 species